rnacentral:rRNA from 1 species
AUUGAACGCUGGCGGCAGGUCUAACACAUGCAAGUCGAACGGUAACAGGAAACAGCUUGCUGUUUCGCUGACGAGUGGCGGACGGGUGAGUAAUGUCUGGGAAACUGCCUGAUGGAGGGGGAUAACUACUGGAAACGGUAGCUAAUACCGCAUAACGUCGCAAGACCAAAGAGGGGGACCUUCGGGCCUCUUGCCAUCGGAUGUGCCCAGAUGGGAUUAGCUAGUAGGUGGGGUAACGGCUCACCUAGGCGACGAUCCCUAGCUGGUCUGAGAGGAUGACCAGCCACACUGGAACUGAGACACGGUCCAGACUCCUACGGGAGGCAGCAGUGGGGAAUAUUGCACAAUGGGCGCAAGCCUGAUGCAGCCAUGCCGCGUGUAUGAAGAAGGCCUUCGGGUUGUAAAGUACUUUCAGCGGGGAGGAAGGGAGUAAAGUUAAUACCUUGGCUCAUUGACGUUACCCGCAGAAGAAGCACCGGCUAACUCCGUG